AUGCACUAUGCUUCGAAGGCUUUGUCAAAUUGAAUGGCAUAGUCUUGGAGCAAACAGUGCAUAAAUUGAGAGCUGUUAGAUCAGCAAGCGGCCAGACAACCGUCGGGAUAGAUCCACAGGUGAAACAGAUGUUUCUCUGUUUUCAUCUACUAAAUCUAUCUUACACUA